CACAGUGACUGCCCUGGCUUUCUUUGCUUUGCCUCCUGUCUGUGUUUGAAAUCCCGAAAUCACCGCCUUGAGCUCUGAAGCCCAGCGGCUCCGAGGCUGCAAGCCUCUCCGCUGGCCCCAGAUGUGCAGCAUGCAGCUUGAAUCUCUGAGGACUCUGGUGGUGGAUGCCAACUCCAAGACCCAGCCUGCCACCCUCCAGGGAGCCGUGGAGAUUUCAGGAUUUCUCCUCUGCGAAAUGGGGAUAACAGCUCCCUCUUCAUCCGGUUAUGGUCAGGGCUGACCUAAGGGGGCUGAGGGUGAAGGCCACAGGCUGAGAAGCUCUUGCCAGUGGUCAGUGAGGAGCAGCAAAUUCGGGUCUUGGCACUUGAACUGUGGGAGGAUCAAUGCUGCUUGAAGCCAUCGGUUUCUGGGAAUUUGUCACAGCAGCCCAGGAAACACAUGCAGAAGGUUUGGAGAUUGGUCUUUCCGAUGACUAGGGUGCUUUGUGCCCAUUUCAACACUCUCUGCCCUCAGUGGCACAUUCAGACCACGUUGACUUGGGCAAUGGUGAGGGAAAUGCAAAGGUGAGCCAAAAAUACCUGGUCUCUGUCUUUGGGGGGACUUAAAACAACAGCAGCUCAUUCUGUCGCAGUCCAAGAGGCCAGAAGUCCAGAAUCACGAUGCCAGUGGGGCUGGCCCCUCUAGGGGCUCCAGGGAGAAUCUCCAGCAUUUCUCUCCUGGCCUGGUGGCUGCUGGCUCCUCUGGCGAUGUGUGGCAUGUGGACGCGUCACAGAGAUCGGCAGGCAGAUCUCUGCCUCUGUCUGUGCAUGGUCUUCCUCUCCCUGUGUGACUCUCUGUGUCUUCACUUGGGCUUCUCACAGGGACACCAGUCACUGGAUUUAGGGUGCACUCAAAUCCAGUAUGACCCAUCCGAACUCAUGACAUUUGAAAAGACCCUUUUUCCAAAUAUGGUCACAUCUGAGGUCCCAGGUGGAUAUGAAAUUUGGGUGACACUGUGCAACCCAGUACCAUCCCUUUUUUUUGAGACGGAGUCUUGCUCUGUCACCCAGGCUGGAGUGCAGUGGCGCGA
rnacentral:lncRNA from 1 species